CCGGCAGCGCUGGGUAGCCAGGUCCGGACGGGAUAACCGCUGACAGCAUCUAAGCGGGAAGCCCACCCCAAGAUGAGCCGUCCCACCCCACCAAGGGGGUAAGGCCCCGGGGAGAUGACCCGGUAGCGAGGCGGCAGGUGGACAGCGGGUAACCGACUGGAGCCGAGCCGUCCUCAUGGCCGAGGC
rnacentral:rRNA from 1 species